AGUAGUUUGAUCAGUGGCUCGAGGACGAACGCUGGCGGCGUGCCUAACACAUGCAAGUCGAACGGGGCAGCAAUGCCCAGUGGCGAACGGGUGCGUAACACGUGAGGAACUUGUCCAUCGGCGGGGGAUAGCCGGCCCAACGGCCGGGUAAUACCGCGUACGUCGGCGAGACCGCAUGGUCUUGCCGGGAAAGCAGCAAUGCACCGAUGGAGAGCCUCGCGGCCUAUCAGCUAGUUGGUGAGGUAAUGGCUCACCAAGGCGACGACGGGUAGCUGGUCUGAGAGGAUGAUCAGCCACAUUGGGACUGAGACACGGCCCAGACUCCUACGGGAGGCAGCAGUGGGGAAUAUUGCGCAAUGGGCGAAAGCCUGACGCAGCGACGCCGCGUGUGGGAUGACGGCCUUCGGGUUGUAAACCACUGUCGCGAGGGACGAAGAUCUGACGGUACCUCGAAAGGAAGCACCGGCUAACUCUGUG
rnacentral:rRNA from 1 species